UAAUUUCAUUCCUUCAUCUACGCUCCUUUUCAAUCUGGAUUCAUGGGAGCAAUGAUUUCUCUCUGGUUCUCUCUCUAAACGUCUCUUGCUGCUGGAUCCCUUAUUAUGUUGAUUUCUUGGGCUACAAAAGUUGCUGAAGCACCUAAUACUGAUAUGGAGUUCUGGAAAUCGAUUGUACCUGGCCCAUACCCACUUCAAAAAUCCCUAUAUCUCAAGCAUUUGAACUCUCAUCCAGAGAGUAAUUUGAAAGCUUCGGAAGUGGUUAGCAACAAUUCAAUCCAGUCAUGGGUUAGUACUUUUAUAACUUUAAUUUGAUUCUAU